GCUGGGGUAGCUUAGUUGGUUAGAGCAUGUGGCCCUUAACCACAAGAUAGGUCGAAGGUUCAAGCCUUUCUUUUAGCG
rnacentral:tRNA from 1 species